GGGAAAAAACGGGAAGGAGAAUCCUAACCCCAUCCAAGACUUUAAUCUUCCAUAACUUUCAAUCCAGAGCUCCGAUUGAUGAGCCGUCAGCGGCCACGCGUUCAUCUUGGAAUUCUCUACAAAAUCCACCCAAUAAUUUGUGUAGGGGUAUUCUAGCGGUGGAUAAUCACUGAGUUCUGUCCAAUUGAUUUGUGGUUAAGAUUGUAUUCUUGUUGAUUUGGAGUUCAAUUGGGCGGUUUGGAAUGAAAUUCGAGUGAUUAAACUUGAGGAAUUGAUGUUUGGAAUUUGGAGCUUGUGAAAGGAGAGGUUUUUGAGGAGUUCCGAGCUCCGGAAGGAAUCGGCCAAGGUGUGAUUUUAGUUUCUCGUAAGUAAUAUAUAAUGUUUCGUAAAAACAUAGGCUAGAUGACCAUAUGAUAAGUUGUAUGAUAUAGAAGGUUGAGGUUUAGUGACUCAUUGUUAGAAAUUAUUAAAUGGGCGGUUAAAAUGCAUGAUGAUUGAUUAUUAAUGAUUGUGAAUAAUGAUGAUGAGAAUUAUUGAUGAUUGAUGAUUGAUGAAUGAUAUUGAAUUAUAAUAAUGAGUUUUGAAAGGAAUAAUGAAUGUGAUAAAUAAUAUUGUUAGUAAAUGAUGAUGAGGAUAGGCUGUGGAGAAUGUAUGUAUGUAUGUAUGUAUGUAUGUAUGUAUGUAUGUAUGUAUGUAUGUAUGUAUGUAUUUAUUUAUUUGUGGAUGAUUGAGUGAUUUGGAUGGGACCUAAAAAGAGUGGCAAAGUCCGAGUUUUAGGGGAUGUGCUGUCAAAAUUUUAUAAGAAUUUUUGGAAAGUUUUGUAUUAGUUAAUUUGGAUGGAAGAAUAGUUUAUCUAAUUAAAAUUGAAUGAAUGUAUGUUUGUGAUACCUGGGCAGUAGCAAAGAUUGUGGUUCGUCCCGCUUGUUCUCGGUCAAUGUUUGAGAUACCUGGGCAGUAGCAAGGAUUGUGGUUCGUCCCGCUUAGUCCAGGUUAAGCUUAUAAACACCCACUUAGGUAGUAGCAGCAGUGGUGGUUAUUCCACUUGCUCCAGGUUGAGCAGGUAGUAGCAAAGAGGGGUUGUGGCUCAUCCCCACUUGCUCCGCGAAGGGUGUUUCUGUCCACGAUUAGCUACCAGGACAUGUCGGGGUUGACUAUAUAACCGAGAUGAUAUCAUUAGCCAUAGGGUAGGCAUAUAUCAUAUGCAUAUGUGUGUUUUGCUUGAUUGUGCAUUAAUUGGACUUUCCUAUGUGAUUAUUAUGCUUACCUGCUAUAUUUGCUACCUAUUGUAUCUGUAUCCUACUUGCGUUUGCUUUGUCUGUGCACCGGAAUUUUGGAGGACUGGAAGAAGGCAGAAAUUAGGGCUUAAGUUAGAAAGGAAUUAGAAAUAAGAAUCUUAGAUAACCUAUCCUAUUUAUGGCUUUCAAUUUAUAAACUUUAAGAUUUAAAUUUGAGUGUCGGAGUUCUAGGAUCACCUCUGACUUUUCCGGGACCUUAUAUCUUGUGUACGUGGGUACCUUUACCAUACUGAGAACCUCCAGUUCUCAUUCCAUAUAUAUAUUGUGGUUUUCAGAUACAGGACGCGAGACACUGUACUAAGCAUUCUGCAGACUCUUGGAAGCAAAAAAUUAU